AGGGAAUCUUCCACAAUGGACGCAAGUCUGAUGGAGCAACGCGCGUGAGUGAAGAAGGUCUUCGGAUCGUAAAGCUCUGUUGUUGGUGAAGAAGGAUAGAGGCAGUAACUGGUCUUUAUUUGACGGUAAUCAACCAGAAAGUCACGGCUAACUACGUGCCAGCAGCCGCGGUAAUACGUAGGUGGCAAGCGUUGUCCGGAUUUAUUGGGCGUAAAGCGAGCGCAGGCGGAAUGAUAAGUCUGAUGUGAAAGCCCACGGCUCAACCGUGGAACUGCAUCGGAAACUGUCAUUCUUGAGUGCAGAAGAGGAGAGUGGAACUCCAUGUGUAGCGGUGGAAUGCGUAGAUAUAUGGAAGAACACCAGUGGCGAAGGCGGCUCUCUGGUCUGCAACUGACGCUGAGGCUCGAAAGCAUGGGUAGCGAACAGGAUUAGAUACCCUGGUAGUCCAUGCCGUAAACGAUGAGCGCUAGGUGUUGGGGACUUUCCGGUCCUCAGUGCCGCAGCAAACGCAUUAAGCGCUCCGCCUGGGGAGUACGACCGCAAGGUU
rnacentral:rRNA from 1 species